rnacentral:rRNA from 1 species
GGUCCGGACACUGUGAGGAUUGACAGAUUGAGAGCUCUUUCUUGAUUCGGUGGUUGGUGGUGCAUGGCCGUUCUUAGUUGGUGGAGUGAUUUGUCUGGUUUAUUCCGAUAACGAGCGAGACUCUAGCCUACUAAAUAGUCACUGGAUAAUCGCGUCCAGAAGACUUCUUAGAGGGACAAGCGGUGUUCAGCCGCACGAAGUUGAGCAAUAACAGGUCUGUGAUGCCCUUAGAUGUCCAGGGCUGCACGCGCGCUACACUGGAGGAAUCAGCGUGCUGUAACCAUUGCCGAAAGGCAUUGGUAACCCCUUGAAAAUCCUCCGUGAUCGGGACCGGGAAUUGCAAUUAUUUCCA